rnacentral:tRNA from 1 species
AGGAUAAUAGUUUAAUAAAAACAUUUAAGUUGCAUUUAAAAAAUAAUGAUCAAAUUCUAUUUAUCUUA